CCUACGGGAGGCAGCAGUGAGGAAUAUUGGUCAAUGGGCGGGAGACUGAACCAGCCAAGCCGCGUGAGGGAGGAAGGUACAGAGUAUCGUAAACCUCUUUUGUCAGGGAACAAAGGCGGGGACGUGUCCCCGGAUGAGUGUACCUGAAGAAAAAGCAUCGGCUAACUCCGUGCCAGCAGCCGCGGUAAUACGGAGGAGGCGAGCGGUAUCCGGUUUUAUUGGGUUUAAAGGGUGCGCAGGCGGGUUGUUAAGUCAGCGGUGAAAGCCCGGGGUUCAACCCCGGCCCGCCGUUGAAACUGGCAGUCUCGAGUUGGAGAGAAGUAUGCGGAAUGCGCGGUGUAGCGGUGAAAUGCAUAGAUAUCGCGCAGAACUCCGAUUGCGAAGGCAGCAUGCCGGCUCCACACUGACGCUGAGGCACGAAAGCGUGGGUAUCGAACAGGAUUAGAUACCCCAGUAGUC
rnacentral:rRNA from 1 species